GAUGAACGCUAGCGGGAGGCUUAACACAUGCAAGUCGAGGGGCGGCAUAGGGUAGCAAUACUCUGAUGGCGACCGGCAAACGGGUGAGUAACGCGUAUGCAACCUACCCUGUACAGGGGGAUAACCCGGAGAAAUUCGGACUAAUAUCCCGUAAUAAUAUCCGGAGGCAUCUUUGGAUAUUUAAAGUUUCGACGGUACGGGAUGGGCAUGCGUAACAUUAGCUGGUUGGUAAGGUAACGGCUUACCAAGGCUAUGAUGUUUAGGGGUCCUGAGAGGGUGGUCCCCCACACUGGUACUGAGACACGGACCAGACUCCUACGGGAGGCAGCAGUGAGGAAUAUUGGUCAAUGGGCGCAAGCCUGAACCAGCCAUCCCGCGUGCAGGAAGACGGCCCUAUGGGUUGUAAACUGCUUUUCCAGGGAGAGAAACUUACGCACGUGUUGCGUGACUGACGGUACCCUGGGAAUAAGCAUCGGCUAACUCCGUG
rnacentral:rRNA from 1 species